ensembl:lncRNA novel transcript
GAAUGACAACUCAUCUGGAAAAAAAGAAUGAAUGACUAUAAUUUUGGCAAUUGCAGACCUAUUCAGUGUCAUUUGAUUGAAUGAUUGAUCAGGUGGUAGAAGAGGCUUGAGCAGGCCGACUUGCCCUUCAGGAAUACUGCCUGGCCUUCAGAUUCAACCUUAUUGCUUGACACUACUUGGCCUGCUCAGUGGCGCUAUCUCGGCUCACCACAACAUCUGCCUCCUGGGUUCAAGCGAUUCUCCUGCCUCAGCCUCCUGAGUAUCUGGGAUUACAGGCAUGCACCACCACACCUGGCUAAUUUUUGCAUUUUUAGUAGAGACAGGGUUUCACUAUGUUGGCCAGGCUGGCCUCAAACUCCUGACCUCAGGUGAUCCACCCUCCUCGGCCUCCCACAGUGCUGGGAUUACAGGCAUGAGCCACCACGCCCGGCCAAUGACUGAUGGUUUUCUGAUGUGACUUUGAGAGCUGUUAAUGUGAGCAAGAGUUGAUGGCCGUCGAUCCCAUCUGCCUGUACUUCCUAUAUUCUUGAUGCUUUGUCUUAUAGGAACCGGGCAAAUCUAACUCAGUCUUCCUUUGAUCCACACUGGAUGAGUGAACUGCAUGUGGGUGUCAGAACUCAGUGCUUUUGUACUGAGGCUGUCACCUUGUUACCUGAGGGCUGCCUUAAAUCCUCAACCUAAUCUCAGCUGUUGCCUCUGGCA